UCCGUAGGCGGGUAAUUAAGUCAGAGGUGAAAUCCCACAGCUUAACUGUGGAACUGCCUUAGAUACUGGUUAUCUUGAGUUUUAGUGAAGUAGAUAGAAUGUGUAGUGUAGCGGUGAAAUGCAUAGAUAUUACACAGAAUACCGAUUGCGAAGGCAGUCUACUACGUAUAUACUGACGCUAAUGGACGAAAGCGUGGGGAGCGAACAGGAUUAGAUACCCUGGUAGUCC
rnacentral:rRNA from 1 species